UGGAGGGAGAAGUACCACCAGUCCUUGGCCGAGGGGUGGCGCUUGAAAGUGUAAAAAUACCUAAACAAAGAAAGGGAUGGCUGGACUUCGACUACGUGGCAAAGGGAGAAGAACCCUAUCAGAAACCUAAAGGAAUUUGGCACGACUGAAGCCAAAGAAAUGUCUAAAAAAUAGAAAAGAACGAUGACGAAGGGUGGAAGCGGA
rnacentral:lncRNA from 1 species